UAGAUCUUCCCGGCGGCAGUGCUCCGUCCACUGGCCUGCUUCUCAUCCUUUGCCUCCUGGACGAGGCUGCAUAGAAGCUGCAAAGCUCCCAGACCUGUUGCUUCUCCCCUUCGCCAUCUCAUCACCCAAGCAGUCCAUCUGAUUGCUGUUUCCUCAAGUCCUCCGCGUCCGUCAUCGAUGAUCAGAUACAUGCUGCAAGGAGACUCCAGAAUCCCCUUCCCUGUUGCACCCCCGCUUCCUGGCAGGUAUUUUGUGGGGCUCAUGUUCCAUUGUCGAGCAGCCACUUCUCGUUGCAUACUCAAAAGCUGAUACAGACAGUCAGAGACAUUCAGAUAAGUUUUGCAUAAAGGAGGUUUUCACUAAGGACAGAGAUGAGCCUAGACAUCACAUAACAUCUUUUUUUCUAAAAAAAGGUUUAUACUUGUUUUGAAACUGUGAACAAGUUCAUACGUUCCCUCUGUUAGUGACAAAAUAAUAUUGUUUGUCAUUGUCAAUGCAAAACAGAGCACUA